GCGGGUGAAAAGCCCGCUCGCCGGAAGACCAAGGGUUCCUGUCCAACGUUAAUCGGGGCAGGGUGAGUCGACCCCUAAGGCGAGGCCGAAAGGCGUAGUCGAUGGGAAACGGGUUAAUAUUCCCGUACUUGGUGUUACUGCGAAGGGGGGACGGAGAAGGCUAUGUUGGCCGGGCGACGGUUGUCCCGGUUUAAGCGUGUAGGUGUGUGUUCCAGGUAAAUCCGGUUCACUUUAACACUGAGGCGUGAUGACGAGGCACUACGGUGCUGAAGCAACAAAUGCCCUGCUUCCAGGAAAAGCCUCUAAGCAUCAGGUAACAUCAAAUCGUACCCCAAACCGACACAGGUGGUCAGGUAGAGAAUACCAAGGCGCUUGAGAGAACUCGGGUGAAGGAACUAGGCAAAAUGGUGCCGUAACUUCGGGAGAAGGCACGCUGACACGUAGGUGAAGUGAUUUACUCACGGAGCUGAAGUCAGUCGAAGAUACCAGCUGGCUGCAACUGUUUAUUAAAAACACAGCACUGUGCAAACACGAAAGUGGACGUAUACGGUGUGACGCCUGCCCGGUGCCGGAAGGUUAAUUGAUGGGGUCAGCGCAAGCGAAGCUCCUGAUCGAAGCCCCGGUAAACGGCGGCCGUAACUAUAACGGUCCUAAGGUAGCGAAAUUCCUUGUCGGGUAAGUUCCGACCUGCACGAAUGGCGUAAUGAUGGCCAGGCUGUCUCCACCCGAGACUCAGUGAAAUUGAACUCGCUGUGAAGAUGCAGUGUACCCGCGGCAAGACGGAAAGACCCCGUGAACCUUUACUAUAGCUUGACACUGAACAUUGAGCCUUGAUGUGUAGGAUAGGUGGGAGGCUUUGAAGUGUGGACGCCAGUCUGCAUGGAGCCGACCUUGAAAUACCACCCUUUAAUGUUUGAUGUUCUAACGUGGACCCGUGAUCCGGGUUGCGGACAGUGUCUGGUGGGUAGUUUGACUGGGGCGGUCUCCUCCUAAAGAGUAACGGAGGAGCACGAAGGUUGGCUAAUCCUGGUCGGACAUCAGGAGGUUAGUGCAAUGGCAUAAGCCAGCUUGACUGCGAGCGUGACGGCGCGAGCAGGUGCGAAAGCAGGUCAUAGUGAUCCGGUGGUUCUGAAUGGAAGGGCCAUCGCUCAACGGAUAAAAGGUACUCCGGGGAUAACAGGCUGAUACCGCCCAAGAGUUCAUAUCGACGGCGGUGUUUGGCACCUCGAUGUCGGCUCAUCACAUCCUGGGGCUGAAGUAGGUCCCAAGGGUAUGGCUGUUCGCCAUUUAAAGUGGUACGCGAGCUGGGUUUAGAACGUCGUGAGACAGUUCGGUCCCUAUCUGCCGUGGGCGCUGGAGAACUGAGGGGGGCUGCUCCUAGUACGAGAGGACCGGAGUGGACGCAUCACUGGUGUUCGGGUUGUCAUGCCAAUGGCACUGCCCGGUAGCUAAAUGCGGAAGAGAUAAGUGCUGAAAGCAUCUAAGCACGAAACUUGCCCCGAGAUGAGUUCUCCCUGAGACUU
rnacentral:rRNA from 1 species